UAGUAGUUUAGAAUGGCUUCAAACUUAGAGGCUGGAGAGAAGAUUGAACCAUUUUUUACAAUUACAAGGAUUUAUAGCAGUCAAGAUGGCGAGUCACAUUUUGGAACUGUGAAAAUAAA
rnacentral:lncRNA from 1 species